AGCCAUUAUGCUAACUGCUAGUCCCGGGGUAAAUUACUCUUAAAGAAAAACAAAAGGAAUUCUAGAUAGUUUUCCCUUCAAAUCAAGCAUCUUGU
rnacentral:pre_miRNA from 1 species